GAUGAACGCUGGCGGCGUGCCUAAUACAUGCAAGUCGAGCGAACGGACGAGAAGCUUGCUUCUCUGAUGUUAGCGGCGGACGGGUGAGUAACACGUGGAUAACCUACCUAUAAGACUGGGAUAACUUCGGGAAACCGGAGCUAAUACCGGAUAAUAUUUUGAACCGCAUGGUUCAAAAGUAAAAGACGGUCUUGCUGUCACUUAUAGAUGGAUCCGCGCUGCAUUAGCUAGUUGGUAAGGUAACGGCUUACCAAGGCAACGAUGCAUAGCCGACCUGAGAGGGUGAGCGGCCACACUGGAACUGAGACACGGUCCAGACUCCUACGGGAGGCAGCAGUAGGGAAUCUUCCGCAAUGGGCGAAAGCCUGACGGAGCAACGCCGCGUGAGUGAUGAAGGUCUUCGGAUCGGAAAACUCUGUUAUUAGGGAAGAACAUAUGUGUAAGUAACUGUGCACAUCUUGACGGUACCUAAUCAGAAAGCCACGGCUAACUACGUG
rnacentral:rRNA from 1 species